ACGAACGCUGGCGGCAGGCUUAACACAUGCAAGUCGAACGGGUGUAGCAAUACAUCAGUGGCAGACGGGUGAGUAACACGUGGGAACCUUCCUCGUUGUACGGGACAACUCAGGGAAACUUGAGCUAAUACCGUAUACGUCCGAGAGGAGAAAGAUUUAUCGCAAUGAGACGGGCCCGCGUCGGAUUAGCUAGUUGGUGGGGUAACGGCCUACCAAGGCGACGAUCCGUAGCUGAUCUGAGAGGAUGAUCAGCCACACUGGGACUGAGACACGGCCCAGACUCCUACGGGAGGCAGCAGUGGGGAAUCUUGGACAAUGGGCGCAAGCCUGAUCCAGCCAUGCCGCGUGAGUGAAGAAGGCCUUAGGGUUGUAAAGCUCUUUUGCCAGGGACGAUAAUGACGGUACCUGGAGAAUAAGCCCCGGCAAACUUCGU
rnacentral:rRNA from 1 species